GUGACCCAGUUUAACGGCCGCGGUACCCUAACCGCGCAAAGGUAGCAUAAUCACUUGUUCUUUAAAUGAGGACUUGUAUCAACGGCAUCACGAGGGUUUUACUGUCUCCUUUUUCUAAUCAGUGAAACUAACCUCCCCGUGAAGAAGCGGGGAUAUACAUAUAAGACGAGAAGACCCCAUGGAGCUUUAAACCUAGCUACAAUCCAAUUUCUUAAGCCUGCUCAUUAAACAGGACCGUGUAUGCUCAGUUUUAGGUUGGGGUGACCACGGAGUACAACAAAACCUCCUUGAUAAAAGAAACUGCUUUCUUAUCCAAGAUCCACACCUCUAAGAAUUAAUACAUUAAUAUAAAAUGAUCCGAUAAUCGAUCAACGGACCAAGUUACCCUGGGGAUAACAGCGCAAUCCAUUUCAAGAGCUCCUAUCGACAAAUGGGUUUACGACCUCGAUGUUGGAUCAGGAUAUCCUAGUGGUGCAGCAGCUACUAAGGGUUCGUUUGUUCAACGAUUAAAAUCCUACGUGAUCUGAGUUCAGA
rnacentral:rRNA from 1 species